AAGAAUCAGCUACCUAUGUUAAUAACACUAUAUAUUCUAAAUAACACAUGUGAAUGUUCAACCAUAAUCUAUCCUCAGGCGUUUCAACUCUGCCUGGAAACUUGGGCUGGAGGUUAGAGUGCGAUAUGCAAGAGUCCUUAUGUCAUCUCGUGAACAAUCUCUGGAUAUACGAACAAGCUCCCACAAGGCACCUCCCUUGAUCAUAUCCUUUGCAUUUACUUCAUGUUGUGCUAAAUGGCAUAGUGCCAGCUCAAUAUGACGCCUUAUUGGAGACGCCUCAUUAUUAGCAGA
rnacentral:misc_RNA from 1 species